GACGAACGCUGGCGGCGUGCUUAACACAUGCAAGUCGAGCGGUAAGGCCCUUUCGGGGGUACACGAGCGGCGAACGGGUGAGUAACACGUGGGUGACCUGCCCUCAGCUCUGGGAUAAGCCUGGGAAACCGGGUCUAAUACCGGAUAUGACUCCAUGACGCAUGUUGUGGGGUGGAAAACCCUUGUGCGGCUGAGGAUGGGCCCGCGGCCUAUCAGCUUGUUGGUGGGGUGAUGGCCUACCAAGGCGACGACGGGUAGCCGGCCUGAGAGGGCGACCGGCCACACUGGGACUGAGACGCGGCCCAGACUCCUACGGGAGGCAGCAGUGGGGAAUCUUGCGCAAUGGGCGAAAGCCUGACGCAGCGACGCCGCGUGAGGGAUGACGGCCU
rnacentral:rRNA from 1 species